UCUUCACAGCUUUCUAUCCCACCUUCAACUUUUCCUCGGAUCCAGAGUCUCAGAAGUAUUUGUGAGGUUUCAUCUUUCACUGGACUUUUUUCCUCUUUCAUACCUUUUAUUUUGGCAUUGAUUUUAUUCUUUGAUUAAAAACUGCAAAAGUAGUACAAAGAAGCCUGUCAUAGUUUAGCUCAGCUGGCACUGUAACUAUGAGGACCUGAGUUCAAGCCUUAGAAGCCAUAUGAACCCAAUGGCCAUAGUGGUGAGCACUGGAAAUCCCAGCAUUGGGGAGGCAGAGAAGGAGGAUCCCUAAGGCUCACUGGUCAUCUGGUCUAGACUAAUUAAUGAACUCAAGGCCAUUGAAAGACUGCCUCAAAAGAUAAGGAUAGUGUUCCUGAUAACACCCAAAGUUGUUCUCACACACACACAUGCACACAUAU
rnacentral:lncRNA from 1 species